GACGAACGCUGGCGGCGUGCUUAACACAUGCAAGUCGAACGGAAAGGCCCUGCUUUUGUGGGGUGCUCGAGUGGCGAACGGGUGAGUAACACGUGAGUAACCUGCCCUUGACUUUGGGAUAACUUCAGGAAACUGGGGCUAAUACCGGAUAGGAGCUCCUGCUGCAUGGUGGGGGUUGGAAAGUUUCGGCGGUUGGGGAUGGACUCGCGGCUUAUCAGCUUGUUGGUGGGGUAGUGGCUUACCAAGGCUUUGACGGGUAGCCGGCCUGAGAGGGUGACCGGGCACAAUGGGGCUGGGAUACGGGCCAGACUCCUACGGGGGGCAGGAGUGGGGAAAAUUGCACAAUGGGCGGAAGCCUGAUGCAGCAACGCCGCGUGCGGGAUGACGGCCUUCGGGUUGUAAACCGCUUUCGCCUGUGACGAAGCGUGAGUGACGGUAAUGGGUAAAGAAGCACCGGCUAACUACGUG
rnacentral:rRNA from 1 species